GGGCAAUGGACGUGCAACUUAGGUAUCAUCAAUGGCGCCGAAGAACGUACAUCAUUUUCUGUAAAUGUCGUAGAUAGCUACGUCAUACCGGGGGAGUCGAAAAUAUACGCCUACGAUAGAGAUUUGGUAAACCUAUCAUGUAGCAUCCUGCCAAGUGUAACGGACAGAGCAGUUCAUUACUGUCGCUGGGUCCGUCCUGACGGAUCUGGAAUUCUCAAAAGCGAAAGUCAUCGGUACAGGACCUCCCACACCAACACUCAAUGCGAAUUAAUUAUCCCAGAAAUUAAAAGUCAUGGGGACAUAGGCACGUGGAAGUGCGUGGCUGGACUACAGGGAGCCAUCGACGAGGAAGCGUGGACGACCAUAACCGUCAUUCUCCAUCGUCCCUUCUUCCGUUCGUAGGACUGUCGGAAAACUCAAAUUCUAUAUUCAAUUCUAUAUUCAAUAUUCUAGCCGCUCGCGAUCCGAGUAAAGCUCGAUUUGCUUUCCCGAGCUUUCCGACGGCUCUAUCGCUGUGUCUGUUCCUCGUCCGUAAAAAGUAGCGACUGUCCACGAAGGAGUUGUUGAUCUUCAUCUUCGAUCCGAACAUAACGCCAAGGUCCCUGGAGCUGGAAUACUUAAAAGAAUUUCGAUAUUGAUCCGUUGUCGAACGUUCCCUCCGACGUGUCGAUGCCUGGCCGGUCCCAACGAAUCAAAGUCCAUCCUGUAAUUGAAAACGGCAGCGACUCGUUCGGUUGGAAGAUUCACGACUGAAUUACCGUAGGAACACAAUUUACCGGGGAGCUAUCUCGACGACGCUUGGGCUAUGCCUUCGAUAUUCCUCGGGAAGGAAAUAUGCUAACGAUCUGCAAAGAGAAACGGGUCCGGGACUAGUUCCAUCGCGCUUCCACUCUCUGUAUUUGGCCCGUAGCUCCGAUCGUGUCUCUUCCGUCUCCGUUGGGCGAUUUAAAAUGUAUAAGCCAAAGUGCUUUCCCGUAAAAAUGUAAAUAAAAUUGAUUCGAGGCGUUCGGAAUGACAAGGUUUCCCGUUUUACGUUUCCCCUGUUACGUGGGCCCCUUCCGCCCCGGCACCGUUCUUCGCGGUCGAUCGUUAAUGGGGGAGGACAGACGGCGAAGAAACGCGACCAGGUUUCGAGAGAAGGGAGAAAAACAAUUAAGGCCCGUGCGAAAAUGAAAUUAUAACUGGGAUAUACGCGGGGCUUCGCGGUUACUCCGUGGGCCGCGGAGGUUUCUCCAUUAACGAACUCCAUCGGGGACGAAAAUAAUUUCAGCGCAGACUGUCGUUGACAGUUUUUGUUCGUUAAGAACCGGAUUUGUAGGCAUUCGUUUCCACCAAACUCGAUUUUCUUUGCGCGACCCGACACGCCGCCGGGAAAAAGGUAGAGAACAAACACAGAGGGCGGGAGUGAAAAAGAGAGAACGGCCGAUGGGAUGUUCGCGAGGAUUUCAGGGCGACGGAAUUACUUCCAUUUACACCGGCCCGAUAACGAGUUAUUGGAUUUCGAAAGAUUGAAAUUGUUAUCCGACGACGUUCCUAAAGACCCGCGUUACAAUAUUUUCCGAAAUUACUGACGCCCCGGACAGCUACUCCGUUCGCUAAUUCGACAAACCUAACAGGACACGUAAUGUUAACCAGGAAAUGAAUAUGUCACACUUUCUUGCGCAAGGAUUAUUUUAAUUAUAACUAAUAAUUAUUGUAAUAAAACGGUAGUU